rnacentral:rRNA from 1 species
GAUGAACGCUGGCGGCGUGCCUAAUACAUGCCAGUCGAGCGAACAGACGAGGAGCUUGCUCCUCUGACGUUAGCGGCGGACGGGUGAGUAACACGUGGAUAACCUACCUAUUAGACUGGGAUAACUUCGGGAAACCGGAGCUAAUACCGGAUAAUAUAUUGAACCGCAUGGUUCAAUAGUGAAAGACGGUUUUGCUCUCCCUUAUAGAUGGAUCCGCGCCGCAUUAGCUAGUUGGGAGGGAAACGGCUUACCAAGGCAACGAUGCGUAGCCGACCUGAGGGGGUGAUCGGCCACACGGGAACUGAGACACGGUCCAGACUCCUACGGGAGGCAGCAGUAGGGAAUCUUCCGCAAUGGGCGAAAGCCUGACGGAGCAACGCCGCGUGGGUGAUGAAGGUCUUGGGAUCGUAAAACUCUGUUAUUGGGGAAGAACAAAUGUGUAAGUAACUAUGCACGUCUUGACGGUACCUAAUCAGAAAGCCACGGCUAACUACGUG